UACGUAGGGCGCAAGCGUUGUCCGGAUUUACUGGGCGUAAAGAGCGCGCAGGCGGUCGUUCAAGUCGCGUGUGAAAGCCCCCGGCUCAACUGGGGAGGGUCACGCGAUACUGAUCGACUCGAAGGCAGGAGAGGGUAGUGGAAUUCCCGGUGUAGUGGGUGAAAUGCGUAGAUAUCGGAGGAACACCAGUGGCGAAGGCGACUACCUGGCCCUGUUCUUGACGCUGAGGCGCGAAAGCUAGGGGAGCAACGGGG
rnacentral:rRNA from 1 species